AUUGAACGCUGGCGGCCGGCCUAAUACAUGCAAGUCGAACGAGUGGAGGAGGGGUGAGUAAUGUCUGGAAAAAUGCCCGAUGGAGGGGGAUAACUACUGGAAAAGGUAGCUAAUAGCGCAUACCAUCGGAUGUGCCCAGAUGGGAUUAGCUAGUAGGUGGGGUAACGGCUCACCUAGGCGACGAUCCCUAGCAGGUCUGAGAGGAAGACCGGCCACACUGGAACUGUGACACGUGCCAGACUCCUACGGGAGGCAGCAGUGGGGAAUAUUGCACAAUGGUCGCAAGCCUGAUGCAGCCAUGCCGCGUGAAUGAAGAAGGUCUUCGGGUUGUAAAUUACUUUCGGCGGGGAGGCGUUACCCGCAGAAGAAGCACCGGCUAACUCCGUGCCAGCAGCCGCGGUAAUUC
rnacentral:rRNA from 1 species